rnacentral:rRNA from 1 species
GGGUUCCUGUCCAACGUUAAUCGGGGCAGGGUGAGUCGGCCCCUAAGGCGAGGCUGAAAAGCGUAGUCGAUGGGAAACGGGUUAAUAUUCCCGUACUUGGAUAAACUGCGAUGUGGGGACGGAGCAGGUUAGGUUAUCGCACUGUUGGAUAUGUGCGUUUAAGUUGGUAGGUGUGAAGUUUAGGCAAAUCCGGACUUCUUUAACACCGAGAGAUGAUGACGAGGCUCUACGGAGCUGAAGUAACCGAUACCACACUUCCAGGAAAAGCCACUAAGCUUCAGGUUUAUCUAAACCGUACUGAAAACCGACACAGGUGGUCAGGUAGAGAAUACUCAGGCGCUUGAGAGAACUCGGGUGAAGGAACUAGGCAAAAUAGCACCGUAACUUCGGGAGAAGGUGCGCCGGCGUAGAUUGUAGUCCCUCGCGGAUGAAGGUUGAACCGGUCGAAGAUACCAGCUGGCUGCAACUGUUUAUUAAAAACACAGCACUCUGCAAACACGAAAGUGGACGUAUAGGGUGUGAUGCCUGCCCGGUGCUGGAAGGUUAAUUGAUGGUGUAAUCGAAAGAGAAGCUCCUGAUCGAAGCCCCAGUAAACGGCGGCCGUAACUAUAACGGUCCUAAGGUAGCGAAAUUCCUUGUCGGGUAAGUUCCGACCUG